rnacentral:lncRNA from 1 species
AUGAGGACCAGCGGCUGCAGCAGGGAAAUUCAUCUCAGCACCAGAUCCCUCGUCCCUCCUGCUGGUCUCAGGGCAGCAGCUGAUGGGACAUGGCUGUGCCCCACGUCACUCUACAAUGCUCCUCACACUGUGCUGCUAUUGAUGCUGACCAGAGCAUGCACAGACUGUGAUGCUCAGCACCAGGAGAACGCUUCCAUCUACAUCACAGGAUGCUGGGGCAAAUCUUAUGGUGUCUUGCAUCUAAAUUUGAAAAAUCUCCAGCAGUUUUAUGACAAAAUUGCUUCUUUGAAUGGUUUCACUAACGCUGCAGAAAAGCAACAAAAUGUUUGGGACAUCCAAAAGAUCAGCCUUUUCCUACAGAUUCGAAGAUCUGAAACUACUGGGGUCUGUUUUUCAUGAUUUACCUCACGCUAUGGCUUGCUGUUUGAAUCCAAAAGCAGAGCAGCUGAGUUGCGUUGCUGUCAUCGGAUUAGUGCUCUUCCUUGUCCUGAACACAUAAGCACAAAAUAUGUUAUUUCUGCUGUGGAUUUUCACUGAAUAUUUCAGUACACUGUUGUUGAAGCUGGGAUCAUCUAAGGACAAAAGAGAGGCUCGGUGUGUACGAAAGGACCAUGUCCUUUAGUGGGUUGGCUAAUACAGCUGGAAGAGGCAGAGAGGAGUUUUUGGCUUGGAAUCCCUUUAUCAGGUUCCAGCAAAGGGAUGAAGGAUGCUUUACCCAGCAAGUCUGGUUCAUGGUUCCAACUCUGUCUUCCAGCCUAGAAAGCAGCUGACCUCCAGCUGACAUGCUUGGCCUUGGUCAUUUCAGCAGAUGAUUUCUCAUAGGCUUUUCAUUAACCACAGUGCUGUUCAAAGUUACCUCCAUGGAUGCCCAUGUAAACAUGAAAAGAGAGUACACACCCAAGGACAGGAUUUUUUUAAAUUCUCAAGGAGUAGGCUUGGCACAUUUUUUCUUCAGACUUCACCGACUUCUGAUCAGUACAGAGUUAAUGUAAAUGAGCUCACUGGAGACAGGAGCAUGAAGGUCUGGCUUUUUUUUACCUUUAACUAAGGUGCCUUCUCUAUGGUUCAUAUAUAUUUCUGAUGUCGAACGGCAUAUGUUUUCAUCAGUAAGUUAUUUUGUGUCAUAAAAGAUUUAACUGGAAAUUCACCAAACACAGGAGUAAUGCAAACUGCUCCUUACUGACACCAGCCAAUUCGUAGAAGAUGUGUGUGUGGUCCCCAUUUUUUGCACUGUUUUUGUCCUCUUAAGAUGCUGGUUGAGACUGAAUAACGUUUAGAAAACCAGUU